UUGCGCACAAUCAGCAAUUUCACUUAUGAAAUGGUCAGUAACCAGAGAGACCCCGCCAGGGAGGGCGGGGUCAGGAAGCAUAGGCAUGGAUGCCGUUGCUUCCGGUUCGUCCGUUUGAAUACCACAUAUCCAUUUCAUUAGUGAAAUCUGAUUGGAAGCUC
rfam:Lachnospiraceae bacterium 28-4 genomic scaffold acPFn-supercont1.2, whole genome shotgun sequence.